CUUCUCUAAAGAAGUCCAAAGGGAAAGAACACGACAUGGUCGCAGUCGCUAGCGCACUCCCUUCAGCUAUCACAGUUGACAAAAAUUUUUUACAUUUAAAAAUGGAAAAAACAGAAGUCAUCGUCCUCCUCGAUUUCCCCGACGAAAGAGGUGCAAAAGGCGGCGAAGCGGGCGGUGGAGACGCUUUUAGAGUAGCAAAAUGAAAUGAAUCAACUGAGAGAAAUCGUCGUCGAUAAGUCCUGUUUCUUUUUUGGGGUAAAAGCGGCGUUUUUUGUCUGUUGGUUUGAUUCACACCAAGGAGUUAUUGGUAUCCUACUUUUAAGCUAAAAUUAGGAGCUUAAUUUUUUAGUUAAAAAAGUUCGGCAUUUUCGUUUCAGAAUACAAACUAAUUGCAGGUUCCACUGGGAGAAAAUCACUAUACGGAAAGAACAGCUAAUCAAGCUGUUGAUAUUCUAAAGAGAAGAGGGAAGUCAUUGGAGUCUAAAGUAGAUUCAUUGAAGCCCGUCAUGCGGGAUCUUAGAGCUGAGGCUUGCUUUUUUUAUUCCACCGCUUCUGAAGUAGCAGAGGGUCUUGUAGAGGAUGAUUAUUCUACCGAAAGGGUAUCUCAAUCAGGCAGGGUGUUGCCUGAGUAGCAUGGCUCAAAGUGAUGGUGAUGAAGAGGAACAAACUAAAGCUGUUUUUGACAGAAAACAGGAUGAAGGUUACAGUUCUUAUGAUCAUGAUCAAAGAUAUUCAGAGAUUUAUAGUUCUCAACCUUCAAAGCCAGUGUCCAGAUUCAAAAUGCAAAGAAAGUAGUUUCUUGUGGCUAAGAAACAUGGAAAUGUAUGAAAUGUAACCUCUGAGCAGCAGCUAAGGCACUUGUAUGAGAAUAGAAUGUCAAAUCCUAGUUUUUUCACUCAUGAAUAUGACAUGGCAUUCUGUUACAGACUCACGGUAUAAUAUACUCAUUCCAUAACUAAUUCCAAAUCCAAGUUGUGGGAUAAAAGUUUAGUUUAGAUCUAGAGACAAUUGCUUUCAUUGCAUGCUAAAAUACCAGGAAAUGCAAGGGCUGUGCCUUUUUUUCUAUUAUUGUA